AUUGAACGCUGGCGGCAUGCCUUACACAUGCAAGUCGAACGGCAGCACGGGUGCUUGCACCUGGUGGCGAGUGGCGAACGGGUGAGUAAUACAUCGGAACAUGUCCUGUAGUGGGGGAUAGCCCGGCGAAAGCCGGAUUAAUACCGCAUACGAUCUACGGAUGAAAGCGGGGGACCUUCGGGCCUCGCGCUAUAGGGUUGGCCGAUGGCUGAUUAGCUAGUUGGUGGGGUAAAGGCCUACCAAGGCGACGAUCAGUAGCUGGUCUGAGAGGACGACCAGCCACACUGGGACUGAGACACGGCCCAGACUCCUACGGGAGGCAGCAGUGGGGAAUUUUGGACAAUGGGCGAAAGCCUGAUCCAGCAAUGCCGCGUGUGUGAAGAAGGCCUUCGGGUUGUAAAGCACUUUUGUCCGGAAAGAAAUCCCUGGCCCUAAUACGGUCGGGGGAUGACGGUACCGGAAGAAUAAGCACCGGCUAACUACGUG
rnacentral:rRNA from 1 species